rnacentral:rRNA from 1 species
UUGCUUGUCUCAAAGAUUAAGCCAUGCAUGUCUAAGUACAGGCCGACCCAAGGCGAAACCGCAAAUGGCUCAUUAAAUCAGUCAUGAUUCAUUGGAUGUUGUAAAACCCUUUACUCGGAUAACUGUGGUAAUUCUAGAGCUAAUACGUGCAAUCGAGCUCCGACCCCGCCGUCAAAGGCGGGGGAAGGGCGCAGUUAUUAGAUUCAAAACCGGGCGGACUUCGGUCUGUCUCCCAAAAAGAGGUUCUGAUGACUCUGAAUAACCUAGCCGAGCGCUGAGGCCUUGAGAGCCGGCGCCGUAUCCUCCGAGUGUCUGCCUUAUCAGCUGUCGAUUGUAGGUUAUACGCCUACAAUGGCUGUAACGGGUAACGGGGAAUCGGGGUUCGAUUCCGGAGAGGGAGCCUGAGAAACGGCUACCACAUCUAAGGAAGGCAGCAGGCACGCAAAUUACCCACUCCCGGCUCGGGGAGGUAGUGACGAAAAAUAACGAUGCGGGACUCUUCCGAGGCCUCGCAAUCGGAAUGAGUCCACUCUAAACACUUGGACGAGGAUCCAUUGGAGGGCAAGUCUGGUGCCAGCAGCCGCGGUAAUUCCAGCUCCAAUAGCGUAUAUUAAAGUUGUUGCGGUUAAUUUNGAUUNAGAGUGGGUNNAANCNGGCAAUNAUUUAUCCCNUAAAGNUCGGCNCANGNAANGNGGNNAUGGNCNNUGGUUUCCNCAUUUUUNUUNGGUUUUCCGAACCCGAGGUAAUGAUUAACGGNAACGGACGGGGGCAUUAGUAUUGCGACGCUAGAGGUGAAAUUCUUGGACCGUCGCAAGACUAACUACUGCGAAAGCAUUUGCCAAGAACGCUUUCAUUAAUCAAGAACGAAAGUUAGAGGAUCGAAGGCGAUCAGAUACCGCCCUAGUUCUAACCUUAAACGAUGCUAACUGGCGAUCCGCUUAAGUCAUUCCCACGACUGAGCGGGNAGCCCCCGGGAAACCAAAGUNUUUGAGUUCCGGGGGAAGUAUGGUUGCAAAGCUGAAACUUAAAGGAAUUGACGGAAGGGCACCACCAGGAGUGGAGCCUGCGGCUUAAUUUGACUCAACACGGGAAACCUCACCAGGCCCGGACACCGGAAGGAUUGACAGAUUGAGAGCUCUUUCUCGAUUCGGUGGGUGGUGGUGCAUGGCCGUUCUUAGUUGGUGGAGCGAUCUGUCUGGUUGAUUCCGAUAACGAACGAGACUCUACCCUGCUAACUAGUCGGUGGAUCGUCUCCCGAGACGGGCCCUACUUGGGGCGUUCGGCUCUAUAUCGCGGCUCUCCGCUCUCGGGGUCGGUCGUUUCACGCGAGUGCCCGGUUAAAGUCGAGGUGAGCGCCGGUGUAUCGGCCGCGCGCGCGUGGGUGUCGGUUUCGCCAAAAGCGGUAUCGGCGCUCGCGCGCUCGCGGGACUUUCCCGGCCUCCUCCCUCGGCCCCGAGUACGUUUGCGUGGGCGGCAUUCGGCCUCGAGGGUUUUCGCGAGGGUCACGGCACGGGCCGGCGUUCCGCUCGUAAGGCUCAGCGAGGGGCGUCCGUCGCAACAUCUUCUUAGAGGGAUCGGCGGCGUCCAGCCGCACGAGAGAGAGCAAUAACAGGUCUGGUGAUGCA